UGCAAGUCGAACGGUAGCACAGAGAGCUUGCUCUCGGGUGACGAGUGGCGGACGGGUGAGUAAUGUCUGGGAAACUGCCUGAUGGAGGGGGAUAACUACUGGAAACGGUAGCUAAUACCGCAUAACGUCGCAAGACCAAAGAGGGGGACCUUCGGGCCUCUUGCCAUCAGAUGUGCCCAGAUGGGAUUAGCUAGUAGGUGGGGUAACGGCUCACCUAGGCGACGAUCCCUAGCUGGUCUGAGAGGAUGACCAGCCACACUGGAACUGAGACACGGUCCAGACUCCUACGGGAGGCAGCAGUGGGGAAUAUUGCACAAUGGGCGCAAGCCUGAUGCAGCCAUGCCGCGUGUAUGAAGAAGGCCUUCGGGUUGUAAAGUACUUUCAGCGGGGAGGAAGGUGUUGUGGUUAAUAACCGCAGCAAUUGACGUUACCCGCAGAAGAAGCACCGGCUAACUCCGUGCCAGCAGCCGCGGUAAUACGGAGGGUGCAAGCGUUAAUCGGAAUUACUGGGCGUAAAGCGCACGCAGGCGGUCUGUCAAGUCGGAUGUGAAAUCCCCGGGCUCAACCUGGGAACUGCAUUCGAAACUGGCAGGCUAGAGUCUUGUAGAGGGGGGUAGAAUUCCAGGUGUAGCGGUGAAAUGCGUAGAGAUCUGGAGGAAUACCGGUGGCGAAGGCGGCCCCCUGGACAAAGACUGA
rnacentral:rRNA from 2 species